rnacentral:rRNA from 1 species
AGAGUUUGAUCCUGGCUCAGGAUGAACGCUAGCGGCAGGCCUAACACAUGCAAGUCGAGGGGUAACAUUGUCUUCGGACAGAUGACGACCGGCGCACGGGUGAGUAACGCGUAUGCAACCUACCCUGUACAGAGAGAUAGCCCAUGGAAACGUGGAUUAAUACCUCAUGGUUCUUAUUUUCCGCAUGGUUAAUAAGAUAAAGUUUCGGCGGUACAGGAUGGGCAUGCGUGACAUUAGUUUGUUGGUAAGGUAACGGCUUACCAAGACUACGAUGUCUAGGGGGUCUGAGAGGAUUAUCCCCCACACUGGUACUGAGACACGGACCAGACUCCUACGGGAGGCAGCAGUGAGGAAUAUUGGUCAAUGGACGCAAGUCUGAACCAGCCAUGCCGCGUGCAGGAUGACUGCCCUAUGGGUUGUAAACUGCUUUUGUAUGGGAAGAAUUGCAUCUACGUGUAGAUGUUUGCCGGUACCAUACGAAUAAGGAUCGGCUAACUCCGUGCCAGCAGCCGCGGUAAUACGGAGGAUUCGAGCGUUAUCCGGAUUUAUUGGGUUUAAAGGGUGCGUAGGCGGCUGAAUAAGUCAGUGGUGAAAGACUGUGGCUCAACCAUAGAAUUGCCAUUGAAACUGUUUAGCUUGAAUAUAGUUGAGGUAGGCGGAAUGUGUAGUGUAGCGGUGAAAUGCUUAGAUAUUACACAGAACACCGAUUGCGAAGGCAGCUUACUAAGCUAUUAUUGACGCUGAUGCACGAAAGCGUGGGUAGCGAACAGGAUUAGAUACCCUGGUAGUCCACGCCGUAAACGAUGAUCACUCGUUGUCUGCGAUAUAUUGUAGGUGACUAAGCGAAAGCGAUAAGUGAUCCACCUGGGGAGUACGAUCGCAAGAUUGAAACUCAAAGGAAUUGACGGGGGCCCGCACAAGCGGAGGAACAUGUGGUUUAAUUCGAUGAUACGCGAGGAACCUUACCUGGGCUUAAAUGUAGAUUGCAUAGAUUGGAAACAGUCUUUUUCUUCGGAACUAUUUACAAGGUGCUGCAUGGUUGUCGUCAGCUCGUGCCGUGAGGUGUCGGGUUAAGUCCCUUAACGAGCGCAACCCUUGCCGUCAGUUACCAGCACGUAGUGGUGGGGACUCUGGCGGGACUGCCACCGUAAGGUGAGAGGAAGGUGGGGAUGACGUCAAAUCAGCACGGCCCUUAUGUCCAGGGCUACACACGUGUUACAAUGGCAGGUACAAAGGGCAGCUACAUAGCAAUAUGAUGCGAAUCUCUAAAGCCUGUCUCAGUUCGGAUCGGAGUCUGCAACUCGACUCCGUGAAGCUGGAUUCGCUAGUAAUCGUAUAUCAGCAAUGAUACGGUGAAUACGUUCCCGGGCCUUGUACACACCGCCCGUCAAACCAUGGAAGCUGGGGGUGCCUGAAGUCUGUAACCGAAAGGAGCGGCCUAGGGUAAAACUAGUAACUAGGGUUAAGUCGUAACAAGGUA